AAAGGAGGUCUACCAACGAAGACGAUAGAAGUUAUCUUUACCAAUAUGAUUCAUGUUUCGGACUUAUUCCCGAAAGUUUUCUAACUACUGGACGACUCGGCGGCAAGUCUGAAGAAUAUUGGUUAACUGAACAAGAGUACAAUCACAUCGCCACAUAUAUAUUGUUGAACUGUGAAGAACUUAAGCCAUACAAAAGACUUUUUGACGAGGAUGGCUUGGCAACAUAUCAUAUUCUUAGUGGAGAGGAACUUGAAGGAAUGAAGGAACAACAUUAUGCAUCUUGGCUUCGAGACUAUAUUUUCCAACUCCAGUAUCCAGGAUUAGUCGGGUUGAAAACAAUCAUAUUCAGAUGUGAUUGGUUUGAUACAACGUCGGGACGCGGUUCACGGAAAAAUCGAUGGGGAGGUGUUGACAUAAAUUCGAAACGUUCAUAUGCAAAGUAUGAUCCUUUUAUACUUUCUGAUCAGGCAGACCAAGUAUGCUUCAUUCCAUAUCCGAAACAUUAUGCGACAUCGGUGAAACGACGACGAGAAGAUCAAUGGUCGGCUGUUUUGAAGAUUAACCCAUGAAGAUUAAUCGUGGAUUCGUCGACAAUACAAGAUCUCGAUGAACCAAUAUUGCAAGAGCAACUCGAAGAUCUGAUUCUUCAUAUCCAACUAGAUGAUUACGACGAUACACUUGCACUUCCUGACAUAGACGACGAGUUACUUGAUGAUUCGUCAAACGUACAAGACGAUAUCGACGAAUUCGUUUCGGACCAUGAUAUAACUCCGGAUGAUGAAA